rnacentral:tRNA from 1 species
UGGGGCGUCGCCAAGCGGUAAGGCAGCGGACUUUGGAUCCGCUAUUCGGAGGUUCGAAUCCUCCCGCCCCAG